rnacentral:lncRNA from 1 species
UAGUCCCCUUUCUCCCAAAAAACACUCUUAAAGCCUUUUCCACCUUGAGGGGGGAAGAAGCCAUUGUUCUUCCCCCCUCUCAUCUCCUCUCUUCUCUUCCUCUCUUCCUCCUUUCACCUCUUCCCCCAUUUUCAAAGACAAAGGGUUUUCCCUAUUUGUCUUAGUUUUGUUAUGAUUUUCAUCCAACCAUUAGUGGCGGCUGCGGCUUAGCGUCGGAUCUUCACAUGCAUUUCGGCGUCAAAUCUCCACCACCAUCUUUUUUGCAAUUUCUUUAUGUUUGGAAUAAGUUGUAGAGACUAUUUAGGUUCUCUGUGUAAUUUUCACCUCUCCUUUUGUGAGAGUUUUUCAUAUCUCCUUUGUGAGAGCUCUCUCCUUAGUGAGAGUUUUAUUUGUAUUGCUAUGGCUUAGUUUUUUCAAGCUUUAUCUCUUUUUUAUUAUUCUAAGUUUGCAAUCUUAGUUGGGAUGCCUAUGCCAGAGUUUCUUCAAUCUUGCCUGAUCGUUGGUGGAGACAUACCUGAUUUUCUUAAUUUUGAUAUUAG